rnacentral:rRNA from 1 species
GACGGAGGGUGCAAGCGUUAAUCGGAAUUACUGGGCGUAAAGCGUGCGCAGGCGGUUUGUUAAGUCCGUUGUGAAAGCCCCGAGCUCAACUUGGGAAUUGCAGUGGAUACUGGCAGGCUGGAGUACGGUAGAGGAAGGUGGAAUUCCCGGUGUAGCAGUGAAAUGCGUAGAUAUCGGGAGGAACACCAGUGGCGAAGGCAAUCCCCUGGGCCUGCACUGACGCUCAUGCACGAAAGCGUGGGGAGCAAACAGG